CGUAUACGGACUGACGCCUGCCCGGUGCUGGAAGGUUAAAAGGAGGGGUCAGCGCAAGCAAAGCUCCGAAUUGAAGCCCCAGUAAACGGCGGCCGUAACUAUAACGGUCCUAAGGUAGCGAAAUUCCUUGUCGGGUAAGUUCCGACCUGCACGAAUGGCGUAACGAUCUCCACACUGUCUCGGCCAGAGACUCGGUGAAAUUGCAGUCGCGGUGAAAAUUCCGUGUACCCGCAGAAAGACGGAAAGACCCUGUGCACCUUUACUAUAGCUUGACAUUGGAUUUUGGGCCUGCAUGUGUAGGAUAGGUGGGAGGCUGUGAACCCUGUACGCCAGUAUGGGGGGAGCCAUCCUUGAAAUACCACCCUUGCAUGUUUAAGAUCCUAACUUCUUCCGGUUAUCCCGGAGAAAGACAGUGUCUGGCGGGUAGUUUGACUGGGGCGGUCGCCUCCUAAAGUGUAACGGAGGCAUGCAAAGGUUCCCUCAGCCUGAUCGGAAACCAGGCGCUGAGUGCAAACGCAUAAGGGAGCUUGACUGUAAGAGAGACAUCUCGAACAGGAACGAAAGUUGGCGUUAGUGAUCCGGUGGUCCCGAAUGGAAGGGCCAUCGCUCAUUGGAUAAAAGGUACGCCGGGGAUAACAGGCUGAUCGCAUCCAAGAGUUCACAUCGACGAUGCGGUUUGGCACCUCGAUGUCGGCUCAUCACAUCCUGGGGCUGAAGCAGGUCCCAAGGGUACGGCUGUUCGCCGUUUAAAGUGGUACGCGAGCUGGGUUUAAAACGUCGUGAGACAGUUUGGUCCCUAUCUUCUGUGGGCGAAGGAGAAUUGAGAGGGCCUGUCCCUAGUACGAGAGGACCGGGAUGGACGCACCCCUGGUGAUCCUGUUGUCGCGCCAGCGGCAUAGCAGGGUAGCUAUGUGCGGAAGGGAUAACCGCUGAAAGCAUCUAAGCGGGAAGCCUGCCUCAAGAUAAGUUCUCCCCUCGAAAGAGCUGAAGGGCCCGGGUAGACUACCCGGUCGAUAGGCUGGAGGUGUAAGCGCGGCGACGUGCUCAGCUGACCAGUACUAAUAGCCCGAGCGGCUUAUUUUU
rnacentral:rRNA from 1 species